CCCUCUCCAUGACAAAGCUCGCUUACUCAGCUUGCAACAAGCAAGUCUUGGUCUUCCUCUUCUACCCUCUAGCUAGCUAGCUAGCUUUCUCGACCCCCCAAGAAAAAGGAGCAACCAAGAUCUCAUACUAGAUCUGUUGAUGGGAGCUAGCUGGUUUCAUUAGCUGCAAUUUCAUGGCGCAUAAGAUCCAUGGCACCGUGGUGAAGCUAGCUGGGCAAGAAGUCAACUAACCAAGAAAGCUUGCUAGCCGCCCUUGGAACUACACAGGGAAGAAGAAGACCAGAUCAAGCAAGCUGUAGCACAUAGAGUUAGGUUAGGUGGAGAGAUGGCCAACAGGUGGUGGGACGAAGGGCGGCUGACGGAGGCGCCGGCAGCUGCAUCAGGCCUCGCCAGCGACCAGAACCGGCAGCAGCUGGAGGACGCCAUGGCGGUGCCCAAGGUAGACGGGGAGAGCAGCCACAGCGGCGGAGGGAGCGGGCAGGACGACGAGCACGAGCCCAAGGAGGGCGCGGUGGUGGUGCCGGCGAACCGGCGCCCGCGCGGCCGGCCGGCGGGGUCCAAGAACAAGCCCAAGCCGCCCAUCUUCGUCACGCGGGACAGCCCCAACGCGCUGCGCAGCCACGUCAUGGAGGUGGCCAGCGGCGCGGACGUCGCCGAGGCCAUCGCGCACUUCUCCCGCCGCAGGCAGCGCGGCGUCUGCGUGCUCAGCGGGGCCGGCGCCGUCGCCGACGUCGCCCUGCGCCAGCCUGCCGCGCCCGGGGCCGUCGUCGCGCUCCGCGGCCGCUUCGAGAUACUCUCCCUCUCCGGCACCUUCCUCCCCGGGCCCUCGCCGCCGGGGUCCACCGGGCUCACCGUGUACCUCGCCGGCGGGCAGGGGCAGGUGGUCGGGGGCAGCGUGGUGGGCGCGCUCACCGCCGCGGGGCCCGUCAUGGUGAUCGCCUCCACCUUCGCCAACGCCACCUACGAGCGGCUGCCGCUGGACGACGCCGAGGAGGACCACCAGCUGGAGGCCGCCCGCAUGCACGGAGCCCCCGGCGGUGGUGUCCCUCCGAUGAUGGCCGGCGGCCCCUCGGCGGCGGGGAUGCCGAUGUACGGCGUGCCGCCGAACCUGAUGCCGGGAGGCGGUGGGCAUGCGGCGCUGGAAUGGGCGGCGCAUGCACGGCCGCCCUACUAGCUACCUAGCAUCAAUCAAUCAGGAGUAGUCCAUGUGUCGACGAUUCCAAGCAUCAAGUUCAGCUAGCUCCUCCCAUCGUCCUCAUCGAAAUCCAUCCUACCAAUAACUAGACUUGCAUUGCAUAUAUUUAGCAGCUGGUUGAUGUUGCCAUGACUGCACAAGGUGGCCAUGUGUGGUCAUUUCAUCAAGUUUAUGAAACUUUUUGAUUCGCAUGAUCCCCAAACAUAGGAAUAGGAAAGACAUGAGAAUUUGGUACAAUGAAAUGCUUUUUAUCAUUUAUGCCACUAGUUGUGUCCCACUACUCGUUUAUGCCAUUGCUCGAAAAUGCCACUGCUCUGUUAGGCACAUGCUAAAAAAGCCACUACAAGCCAUUACUAUCAGCUCAAAGUUCGUUUACAAUAUUAUAUGACCAAAAUACCCAUGGAAAAAAUGACAGCUCUCCCUAUAUCUCGCUACAAUAAAGUGUCUGUCCCACUCAACCCCAAAGUGUGUUCUUAUUUUCCUCUAAAAUUAUUUGGUUGAUUGCUUCUGGUAAGUAGGCCUCACAAUUAUCAUUGUGAGAUAAAGAGAGCUAACAUGCGGGUGUAGGGGUAUUUUGGUCAUAUAACAUAGUCAACUAGUUUGACAUGACAGUAACGGUGUUUGAUUACAUUUUUGAGCAAACAUCUAAUGGAGCGAUGUCAUUUUUUUAGGUGUCUAAUAGCAUAUUUGAGCAAACAUCUCACAAAACGAUGGCAUUUUUAAGCGGUUGUAACUUUUAAUGCAAAACUGAAUAGUGGGACACAACUAGUGAUAUAAAUGAUAUAAACCAUUUUUUUAAUUUGAGAGUUGACUGUAUAUUGACAUAAGCAAUAGUUGUGGGUGUAUGGUUGUAGCACCAAACAAUGAAAAAAAAACUUUUAGGGUUAAGUGCAUUGACUAUAUGGUUGUCUUGGACAGGAGGAAAAAUCCCAACAUGUUAAAACUUCAAAAGUUUGAGUGACCAAACCACUACAGUAACCAAAACAUAAGGCGUAGUUUGAGUGUCCAAGUGCAUGUUUUGACCGUGAAUCUCCCGUACAAUGUUUACCCGGUUACAAAACUAUAACAACACGGAAAUGUUUUGAAAAAUAUAUUUGAUGGUGGCUAUGUUAUGUAACAUAAAUUAUAUAUGGUCAAAGCAUUAUAUUGGAUAGUCAAAGUAAGUUAGUACGGUUUGUAUACAAUGGCGUGGUCCAAUAUUCGUCUCGCUCGCGUGCUUGCAUCGGACAGAUCGGUAUUGUAAAAGGUUGAGUAGCCAGUAGCUGCCCCCAUGGAAUCAAAAUUUGAAACCAAAAGCAAAUUGAUCCUAGUGCACAUUGGUGCUGAAAAUGAAAAUAGUAUCAUCCUAGCUACCUAGGGGACCGAUCGAUAUGCUCGCUGGCCGGUUAUUAGAGGUGCAUGCCUGUACUAAUUUCAGCUCGGCUCAGAUACGUGUGUGCGUUCUUCCAUUAUUAUAGUCGGUGCAUACUUGCAUAUACGUUCAUGCAUAGUAUAGGUAGUAGAGAAUGUGUAAUAAAGCUUAAAAGGCGGCUUCCUCUCGGUUUUUCUCUCUCGAAAAAAAAAGCUCUAGAUGCGUCGGGUGGAUAGUAUAGGUAGUAGAGAAUCCCGGUGGCUUCGCUCUGGUUAGUAGUCUAAUUAGAUUUUAGGGGUUUUUAAUCCUUGCGGGCGGCGCUCGG